rnacentral:rRNA from 1 species
UACGUAGGGGGCUAGCGUUGUCCGGAAUCAUUGGGCGUAAAGAGCGUGUAGGCGGCCAGGUAGGUCGGUUGUGAAAACUGGAGGCUCAACCUUCAGAGGUCGACCGAAACCAUCUGGCUAGAGUCCGGGAGAGGAGAGUGGAAUUCCUGGUGUAGCGGUGAAAUGCGCAGAUAUCAGGAAGAACACCCGUGGCGAAAGGCGGCUCUCUGGUACGUGACUGACGCUGAGACGCGAAAGCGUGGGGAGCGAACAGG